CUGAAUCGCCUCAGGACUAGCGGAGCAAGCUUCAAAUUAACCACAGCAUUUCCAGUAGGUUGGAUUGUGGUACUGCUGUUUGCGCUCCAAAGAGCUGCUGUGGUUUCCCUGUGUCUGCCUGCCUUGGGAGCUUCUCAGAUCAUCUCGUUUGGCAUCCUCUCAGAAGAGUUAAGCAAGACUUUUGGAAUGAUUUCCUGGCUUUCCUUCUGUCUUUUGCUGGUAAAGCUGCUUUCAAAAGGAAGUCUUUUCUUGCAGUGCUAUCUUUUCUUUGACUCUCAGUGCUUAACGAAGUUAAAGAAAAGUAAUCUGCUGGUAGUUUUUAAUCUGUGUUUUGAGCUGAUAUGCGUUAGUAGCUUUCUUUUGUUUUUAAAUUUGGUAAAAUUUCACCUGUGACCCAGAAGCUCGUUUUUUCUCUUCUAAAAUGCUAGCUUUAAGAUUUCUGAGAAAUUUGUGUCAAAGAAAUCUUGGAAAAGUUCCUGAAGUCUGCAGAAGAAGCUCACAGUUUUAAAUGUGCAGGUGGUCCCGUGGCGGUGGAUCACAGCUGUAAUCCCAGCACUUCUGGAGGCCAAGCCAGUAUGAAGGCCAAUCAUGUUCAGACCCAGGCUCUCACCGGCACAUUGUCCUUUACUGUCCUGAGGGUGUCUGGAGCUUCAGUGCUGUGUGCUUUGGGCCUCAAUGCUGGGGCACCAUCGACUCUCACUGUCCAGGGCUUCCAGUAGACUCUCCGAGGCACUGAUACAGAAUCUUCCACCUUCAGUGCACCAAGAGCAGCCUCACACGGUGUGGGCUGACAUGAAGAGCUGCCAGAUUCAACAGGUAACCUCACCAUCUUCAAGUCAUGUAACUGUCAUACAACAACAUAAUCACAGGAAUGGUGUCUCAUCACCUUAACAGGCUUCAGAGACAAGGGUAUGGCAUGUUUGGGGACCAUUUCAGAAAUUCCGUCUACCACAGUUGGACACUCACAUUCCCCCAUCUACAAAAUACAUGCAACCCUCUCCUCUAAAGUUUCCAAAUUUCAUGUCAUUAAAGCAUUAGUUCAACAUGAAAAAUGUCACAUAGACCACAUCAGAUCCAAAGUUUAAAAUCUUAUCUAAAACAGCCACACCAGGUGUGGAUGAGGUUUCUGAGGGUGUCCAUUAAGUAUAGAUCCUUAACAUAAUUUCCUUACGUCCAUCGACCUGUGAAAACUGAACAAACCCCUUAUCUGCUCCUAAUGUGGAAUGGCAGGACAGACACAGAAUAACAAUUACAGUGAUUCUAGUUCAAAAAGAAGGAACAUGGAAGGGAGAAGGAAGUCACUGACCCA
rnacentral:lncRNA from 1 species